rnacentral:rRNA from 1 species
UACGUAGGGGGCAAGCGUUGUCCGGAAUCAUUGGGCGUAAAGCGCGUGUAGGCGGCUUGGUAAGUCCGCUCUGAAAGCCCGGGGCUCAACCCCGGGAGGCGGGUGGAUACUGCUGGGCUCGAGUCCGGAAGAGGAGUGUGGAAUUCCUGGUGUAGCGGUGAAAUGCGCAGAUAUCAGGAAGAACACCUAUGGCGAAGGCAGCUCUCUGGGACGGUACUGACGCUGAGACGCGAAAAGCGUGGGGAGCGAACAGG